UUGAAGAGACAGAUAAUUAUGAUUCAGAAGAUAGUGAAACAUAUACAGAAAUAUUAACAAAUACAAAAAAUUUAGAAAUCAAUGAAAAACAAAAAGUAAUUAAUGAGGAAAACUUAGAAAGUACCCACACAGAGAUAAAUACUCUUGAUAAAAAAGAAGAUGAAAAUAUAAUACCUAAAACAGCAGAAAUAAGAAAACCUAUAUAUUAUAAGAGCAAGUUUAAAAAAUAUAAUGAAUAUGACAAAUGGACACCAAAACAAAUAGUUAAUAAAAAUUAUAACUUUUUAGACCUAGACUGUGUAAUAGAUACAGAAAAAACAAUACAAUUAUGGAUAGGAUAUAUGACAAAACAAUUAUUAGAUAAUAAUAUAAACAUAACAGAUGCACCAGAAUAUAUAGAAAGAACACUAAUAGGAUCAGUAAAACUAUGGUUUGCAAAUCUAACCGAAAAUAGCAAAAAAGUAUUAAGAACUAAUAAACCUAUAGAAGGAACAUCAUCGACAACAACUAAACUAACACCUAUAGAAUUAUUAAAAAAAUAUGAAACAGCUAUAAAAGAUGAAUUUGGUAGUACGACAACAAUCGAAGAAGAACAAAAUGAAGAAAAAGAUACAAAUAGAAAUUUAAUGUUAAAAUUAGCAAUAUGUAAUAUGUGUUAUAUAGAUGAAUAUACUUGCGCAUUUAAAGAAUAUUAUUACAAAGGAGCAUAUAGUAUAGAAGAAAGUAAAGAAAUAAGAAAAUUAUAUUUUAAUAAAUUACCCGAACCAUUUAGUUCGAAAAUAAUAAAAAGUUGGGAAGAAGCAAAAAUAGUAGAUACGUUAGGAGCAAGAAUAAAAUAUUUACAACAAUGGUAUAGAAACUUAUGUGAAAAAUAUAGAGAAGAAUUAAAAAUGGAAAAAACAUUAAUAAGAAAUUUAGCUUGUUGCAAAAAUAAAAUAGCACCCCAAUUUGGAUGCGAAGAAAGAUAUUAUAAGAAAAGAAAAAGACAUAAGAAAUAUAAGAAAUAUAAAAAAUCAAAAUAUAAAUAUAAAAAACCAAGAAAAAGAUAUUAUGUAAAAAAUUAUAAAUACAAAAGACCAUAUAGAAAAAAGAAAUCUAUAAAAGAAUGUACUUGUUAUAAUUGUGGAAAGAUAGGCCAUUUAGCUAGAGAAUGUAAAUUACCUAAAAAUCUGAAAAAUAAACAAAUCUCAGAAAUAAAAAUAGAUAAUACAGAAUAUAUGCAGACAGAUUAUAUAGAUUAUGAAUUAGAAAGUGAGGAUAGUAUAUAUGACAUUUCAGAAAACGAAAUCGAUAAUGAAAUAGAUAGUGAAAUAGAUGAAUCAAACGACUGAAGAAGAAAUAAAAAUAAUAAAAAAGGAAGAAUAUUUAAAUGAUGAAGGAACGGAACAAAAAAUAAUAUUUGAUAGUAACAUAUUUGAUGAAAUAAAAGGAAAAGAAUUAGAUUUAAGUGUAGACAAAAUAUUUAAAAUACCAACAAUAAAAAAUAUUUUUACUAGGAAAAAAGAUGAAUAUUAUGUAGUAUGCCAAAAAGAACAUGUAAUAGAUUGCAGAUAUGCAAAAGGAAAAGCUAGUAUACCACUAGUAACAAAAAGAAUAAUUAAUAAAGAAAUAAAUGAUAUAAAAAGUAAAGGAGAUCCAAUAAAAUAUGUACACCUUGGAGGUACAGAGAUAUUAAUAAAAGCAUGUUUUAGAGAAGGAAUAGAUACACCAAUAGAAUUAUAUUUAGCAGACGAUAGAAUUAUAAAACCUAUAGAAAAAAGCAUAAUAACUGCCGUAAAAGGAAAUCUAAUAUACCAAAAAUUUAAAUUUAUAAUAAGUGCAAAUUAUUCAGUAGCAGUAACAGAUAGGAAUAUAGAUAAAUCAUUAGUAUUAUAUUGGAAAAUAUCAGGAAUAGAGUUAACCCCAGGAAGUAAAAUAUUUACAGCAAGAUGUAAAAAUCUAUAUGUAUUAACAACAAAACAUAAAAUAACAGGAAAAAAUAAGAUUAACAAAAUACAAAUAGAAAGCCCAUUCGAACAAAUAGUAAAAACAAUAGAUUAUAAUGAUUAUACCUAUAGAGACAUAGAUACAGAAGAAAAUUUAGAAAUAGUAAAUGAUAGAAUAAGUACAACGAAAAGAAUAGCUAAUGAAAAACCAGAAUCAUCAAGCUCAUCAAAAAGAACAAGUUAUGAAACAAAUUCAAUAAGUAAUUUAAACCAAUAUUACAUAACGGGAAAAAUAAAUGAAAAAGAAUAUUUAAUACUUUUGAAUACAGGACAAGAAGAAAAUCAUAUAGCAAAAUAUCUAGUAAAAAAUGAAGAAAUAAAAACUGACAAUGAUAUAUGCCCAGAUCUACCAAGAAGUUUAAUAAAUAAUAAAAAUAUAGCAGAAAAAGAAAUAAUGUUAGGAGUUAGAAAAAUAAAAAUAGAAUUCGAAGUAAAGGAAGAAAUGCAAAAAGCAGAUAUAAUAUUAGGAAUAAAAUGGUUAGAACAAGUAAAACCAUAUAAUAUAGAACAUACACAAUUAACCUUAACAUAUAACAAAGAAAAGUUAUUCUUAAAAAGAGCCUUAACAUGAAAUGAAGAUAUAUGUAUUAAUGAAGAUAGUAGUAGAAGGAUAUUACAGUAGAUAUUAUACGCCUAUGAUAGAUACAGGAGCAGAAGCUAAUUUAUGUAGAUAUAAUUGCUUACCAGAAAGCAAAUGGGAUAAACUAAAAACACCAAUAAUAGUUAAAGGAUUUAAUAAUGAAGGAAGCUUAAUUACUUAUAAAGCUAGGAAUGUAAAAAUACAAGUAUGGGAUAAGAUAUUAACAAUAGAAGAAAUUUAUAAUUAUGAAUUAACAUCAAAAGAUAUACUUUUAGGAAUGCCAUUUUUAGAUAAAUUAUACCCACAUAUAAUAACCAAAACAGACUGGUGGUUUACAACACCAUGCAAACAAAAAGUAAGAGCAAAAAGAGUUAAUAAUAAAAUAAGAAAGAAAACUGAUUGGAUAAAAGGAAGUGAAAAAAUUACACAAAAGUUAGAAAAUAUAAACAAUACUGAAGAUACAGUAGAACUAGUAGUAUUUUCGAUAAAUAAAACAGAAAUAACUAUAUUUUCAAUAAAUAAAAUAGAAAUAAUUCAGAAAAAAUUAGAACAAUUAUAUAGUGAAGAUCCAUUAAAAGGAUGGGAAAAACACAAAACUACUAUAAAAAUUGAAUUAAUAGAUAAGAAUAGCAUAAUAACACAAAAACCAUUAACAUAUAAUUUUGAUGAUUUAAAAGAAUUUAAAAUGCACAUAGAUGAAUUAUUAGAAAAACAAUAUAUACAAAAAAGUAAUAGUAAACAUAAUAGUCCAGCAUUUAUAGUAAAUAAACAUAGUGAACAAAAAAGAGGAAAAAGUAGGAUGGUUAUUGACUAUAGAAAUUUAAAUGCAAAAACUAUAACAUAUAAUUAUCCGAUACCAAAUAAGAUAUUAAAAAUAAGACAAAUCCAAGGAUAUAAUUAUUUUAGCAAAUUUGAUUGUAAAUCAGGAUUUUACCACCUAAAGCUAGAAGAAGAAUCUAAAGAAUUAACCGCAUUUACGGUACCACAAGGAUUUUAUGAAUGGAACGUGUUACCAUUUGGAUAUAAAAAUGCACCAGGUAGAUAUCAACAUUUUAUGGAUAAUUAUUUUAAACAAUUAUCUAAUUGUAUAGUAUACAUAGAUGAUAUAUUAUUAUACACCAAAACCAAAGAAGAACAUUUAAAAUUAUUAGAACAAUUCACAGAUAUAAUAGAAAAAUCAGGAAUAAGUCUAAGCAAAAAGAAAGCUGAAAUUAUGAAAAACCAGAUAGAAUUUUUAGGAAUACAAAUAGAUAAAAGUGGAGUAAAAAUGCAACAACAUAUAGUACAAAAAAUAAUAAAUUCGAAAGAAGAAUUAGAUACAAAAAAGAAAUUACAAUCAUUUUUAGGAUUAGUAAACCAAGUAAGAGAAUAUAUUCCAAAAUUAGCAGAAACCUUAAAACCACUGCAGAAAAAAUUAAAAAAGGAUAUAGAAUAUAAUUAUGAUGAAAAAGAUAAAAAACAAGUUCAAAAAAUAAAAUUACUUUGUAGAGAAUUACCAAAAUUGCAAUUUCCAGAUGAAAAUAGAAAAUUUAUAUAUAUAGUAGAAGCAGAUGCAAGUGAAUAUAGUUACGGAGGAGUACUUAAAUAUCGAUAUGAAGCAGAAAAAAUAGAACACCAUUGUAGAUACUACUCAGGUACGUUCAACGAGACAGAAAUAAAAUGGGAAAUAAAUAGGAAAGAAUUAUGUUCAUUAUAUAAAUGUUUAUUAGCAUUUGAGCCAUAUAUUGUAUAUAACAAAUUUAUUGUACGAACAGAUAAUACACAGGUACGCUGGUGGUUAACAAAGAAAAUACAAAAUUCAGUUACAACAAAAGAGAUUCGAAGACUAGUUUUAAAUAUAUUAAAUUUCACAUUUACAAUUGAAGUGAUCAGUACUAACAAAAAUGUUAUUGCAGAUUACAUAUCAAGACAAAGCUACACAGACUGAAAUAGUAGAGGAAGAUACUCUAGAAAAAAUACUUAACACCCUAACUACGCUUUCAAUGAAAGUGGACAGUAUGGGUAAUGAGAUAGAAAAGCUAAAGACUAAUGAAGAUAAACUGAAGUCUAUAGCUACAAAUCAGCUAACUCAGCAGUGUGCAGAGCUAUGUCGACCGGAAGACAUUAAAAAUCCAGAGCUAGAAGGAGACGUUGGGACACUCCAUAAAACCCAUAACAUUUAUCAAUCUACUUCUGCAGGUACAAGCAAAGGAGUUAAUCGACUAAGAUACCAGAACAUGAAUAUGAAUAAAAUAUUUGAGAAACCAUUUAUACUGAAAACACAAAAAGACCCCUUGUUCAUACCCCCACAAAUCACCAUAUACCGAGAUAUCCUGAACUAAGAUAAAAAAGUUUACAACUAUACAACCCAAAAAUACAUAGAAAAUAUCUAUAAAGUACAACUUUUCUAAACCUUAACCCAGAGCUACAAAUAUCAAAGAACCAAACACAAACUAUAUAACCCAAAAACUACAACGAUAUAACAAGCUAAUAGCACUACCCAAAACCAACCCAAGCCUAGUUAAAACUUGUUUUGACGAGGACUACUAAAUACCAUAUAUACCCAAGACGGAGAAGAACUAACAGCUAUGGAAGAAUUACACAAGAUAUUCACCACCUACAAAAGGAUAACAAAAGGAAAUCUAUUACAUAAAGGGUUAUACUGCACCAGCAGAGAUAUUAUACGACGAAAUAAAACCAGUUAUACAAGUUAUAAAAAUAGGACUAACCAGAGAUAUGAUCAUACCAAAAGAUAUUACGCAGCAGCCGGAGAUACCCAGAACUGAGAUACCCAAUUACUACGCAAAUAAACGACUCAUUGGACUAGCUACGAUUAUACAAGAAUUAGCAAAUAAUUAUACUAAUGGAAACCCAAUAUGGAACUAUUAUUCGAGAGACCAUCAAAUGAUUUAUUCAAAUUCAAAAGAGCUACGACAAGCAGAUAUGGAAGAUGUUAGCCAAUGGAUAAUGACAUUACUUAACCNNNNNNNNNNNNNNNNNNNNNNNNNNNNNNNNNNNNNNNNNNNNNNNNNNNNNNNNNNNNNNNNNNNNNNNNNNNNNNNNNNNNNNNNNNNNNNNNNNNNNNNNNNNNNNNNNNNNNNNNNNNNNNNNNNNNNNNNNNNNNNNNNNNNNNNNNNNNNNNNNNNNNNNNNNNNNNNNNNNNNNNNNNNNNNNNNNNNNNNNNNNNNNNNNNNNNNNNNNNNNNNNNNNNNNNNNNNNNNNNNNNNNNNNNNNNNNNNNNNNNNNNNNNNNNNNNNNNNNNNNNNNNNNNNNNNNNNNNNAGAAGUACACCUAGAAUAAAAAUCAAGAAGAUGAACAUGCCAGCUGGAAAGAUAAGAUAAGGAGCAACAGAUACGACAACAAGAAGAUACCAAUGGAAGAAGAUAAGAUAUUAAAUUAUUUACGUAAAUUGUUAGAAUUGUUAGAAUUAUUGUAUAGACUUUCCUUAGCCUCCUAACCUUUUUUAAAGGCUAUGGCACUAAAUUGUAUAGACUUUUCUUUUUUAGACUCCUAGCCUUUUUGACUUUUCAAAAAGGCUAUGGCACUUAGUUUUAGGAUUCUAGUUUUAGGAUUUUUUUUUUUAAAAAAAACGUGUAAAGACUUUGUAAAGAUUUUCAUUCNNNNNNNNNNNUUCUAUAAAUGAAGGCAACUGAAGGCAUUGCAAAGUAAGCCUUCAUGCGUUGAAGCAAACAUUCUCUCCACUCCAAAUAUUUUACUCAGUUAAUUAAAUAGACAUAUUUCAAUGGAAAAAGCUAUGGAGGAACAAACUUCAGAAAUAUCAAAACUACCCGAACAGGUAUAUUUAUUUAUGAUUAUGAAUAGCUAAAUUCAUAAUUCCCAACAAUCAUGAUAUGAUAAAAUAAAUUCAUAUUAGUUACUUUAUAGUAGAAUUAUUCGAAGAAUAAUAUGUUAAGAAGUUUAUUAGCAAAGUGAAAACGGAGAAAAAUCCCUAAGAACUAUGCCAUCCUAAAGGUGAAACCAAUGAGGCAAGAAGCCGUGGCAGGGAGUUACCAGAGUAGAGGCACUGUUUAAGGGAAAAAGUAUCCAAAUCACCAUGCUAGUAGUGACCGAAGAACAUAUUAUUUAAGAAUAAUCUAGUAUAUAGUAAUCUAAAAGGACCAUAUUUUGUUAUGUACAUGGUUGAAGGAAAUAUUUUGAAAAAAGCAAUUUUAUGAAAAUGAAUAAUUAUUAAUCUGAUGUGAUGGUAGAUAAAUUUAAAAUACUUAUUUUGUAUGCACUUAAAGAUAUAAAAGUAGUAGAUAUAAGAAAAAUCAUAUUAGAAAAAGCAUUUGGUAAAUAUUACAUGACUAGAGUAAAUUAUAUACCAUACCUACCUAACUACUCUUACAAAUACUUACCAUGAUAAAUUACAUAGAAUUUUUAGAAAAAGAUAUGAGAAACAUACAGUUACUAGAAAAACAGAUGAAAAUAAAUAUAGACAAAUACAUGGAAAAUAAAGAUAUAAAAUACAUAGAAUUUCUUAAAAUCUAACCGAAAAUAGCAAAAAAGUAUUAAGAACUAAUAAACCUAUAGAAGGAACAUCAUCGACAACAACUAAACUAACACCUAUAGAAUUAUUAAAAAAAUAUGAAACAGCUAUAAAAGAUGAAUUUGGUAGUACGACAACAAUCGAAGAAGAAC
rnacentral:lncRNA from 1 species